rnacentral:hammerhead_ribozyme from 1 species
GCACUGCUGACAAGUCUCAAACAGGACGAAACAGCUGUUCAGUGC